rnacentral:lncRNA from 1 species
CCUGAGACUUCUAGACGCUCCACACUCCCCAGCCCUUGGGAAAUACACAUUCCUCACGGAAAAAGGAGAAAAUACAGACAAGAAUAGAGAGAAAGAAUUUUUUAAAUCUACAAUCCAAAGAUACCACUGUCAACAUACUUUCUUGCUGCGAGAACCAGAAGCCGAUCCUGGCUGAUCAAGUAGAAGAGAAGUUUAUUUCAAAGAUAUUGGAAGGGCUAGGAGAUAAGUUCAAGAAAAGCUUAGGAAUGAUGCCCAAAAGCCUGGUCUCGGGAGAACCUGCCACACUGCAGCCCUGCCGAGCACACGUGGAUGUACCCUCGCUGUCACCAGCCCAGCAGUACCGCUUCUGCACCAGAGCCACACGCCCGCCACCGCACUGGUCGCCAAGCAGAUCUGAGCGGGCCCUGCUUCCUCACACUGCUCCUCUGGGUG